rnacentral:rRNA from 1 species
UACGUAGGGUGCAAGCGUUAAUCGGAAUUACUGGGCGUAAAGCGUGCGCAGGCGGUUAUGUAAGACAGUUGUGAAAUCCCCGGGCUCAACCUGGGAACUGCAUCUGUGACUGCAUAGCUAGAGUACGGUAGAGGGGGAUGGAAUUCCGCGUGUAGCAGUGAAAUGCGUAGAUAUGCGGAGGAACACCGGUGGCGAAAGCGGCAUACUGGACCGAUAACUG